rnacentral:lncRNA from 1 species
CUUACCCUUGGUCUUUCUUAGAGGAUCUUAUUGACAACCAACUCUUUGACCAAAAUCAGCAUGGGAACAACCUUUCCAAUCAGUAGAAUCUCAUCCUCCUACUGAUCCAUUUGAAAAUUUAAGAUUCCUCCUCAUUUUUGAUAAAAUCAAACUAUUUGAUUGCAUCAAUUUAACUCUGAGAUGCUUGCAUUAGUCCAAAAAAUGAAUCCAUGC